AGAAAAGAAAGCAAGGACAUAAUGCGUAGAAUUGGAGCCAGUUAAACUAGGUUUGUAUAUUUUCUUUCCAUAAUAACAUUGUUUAUUUUACACUUGAAUCCCUUUCUAUCAAUUGCUUGAAUUAUACUAGUAGCAAAUCUUCUCAUUUUGAACCUUGCCAUAGUAGUAUGGAAGAGAAAGAAUACAUGCGGUUUCAAAGUAUUUGCACUGCAACUGUGAAUUUGAAAGACAGAAUGAUGAAAAAUCUAAAUAAUAUUCUCAUUUUAAGAUGAGAAGCUUUAAGUUCAAAAGCUUGAAGACAAGAGACUGGAGUUGUGGUUCAGUGGUAGAAUGCUUCCCUAGCACAUGUGAGGCACUGGGUUUGAUCCUUAGCACUAUAUAAAAAGAUAAUUAUAUAAAAUGAAGGUUUUGUGUCCAUCUACAACUAAAUAAAAUAAAAUAAAAAGCUUGUAAACAGUCCAACUGGGAUUCAGUCUCAGAUACGUUGAGUCAAAACCACAUUUAUUUUCUAGUUAUAUAUCAAAGUCCUUUGUUUUAUUUAGGUUUAGUUUGUUUUACAACUACUGAUUACUUAUAUGUAUUUCCCUUAAGGAAACUUUCUAAGAAACUAAAAAGAGGGAAAAGCAUUCCCUAUUCUCCUAAAGUUUAGAAGAAGAGAAAGGAACUAACAUUUAUAAGCACUUAUUAUGUGCCAGACACUAUCGUUAAAGCCUUAACUGAGGUAACUCCAUUUAAUUCACAAUAGCCAGGUGAUGUACUUGUUGCUAUCCUUCAUCUUUAAAAUAGAGAAGUGAGUGAAUUGCCCAAGAUCACAUAGCUUGUUAGUAACAAAAGGAGAAUUAAAAGUCCUUUUUGAGAAAGAUUUUAUAGGGUUUCCAUCAUGCCUAUUAACUUAAAAUUUCAUAUCACACAAACCAAACAAAUAGCGGAACUGUUCAGUCUGAGCAUGCUUGGCUGUUAAUGUCAUUUGUAAACAUUCUAGCUUUGUGUGUGUGUGUGUGUGUGUGUGUGUGUGUGUGUGUGUGUGGUGCUGGGGAUUGAUCAUUUGUAAACAUUCUUAAUUUGACAAUUAGUAGUUGAAUCACCUCACCAAAAUAGUUACAUACUUUUUCUUAAUAAGCUUUCCAAUGUAACCAGUCAUUAAAGCUACAUGAUCCUAUGAAGAGAGAUUUAAAAUUCACAAAAUAGUGUGACAGACAUAGCAACAGAUGAGAGAAAGGACUUUGAGGUGUGGGAAUCAGAUCUAAAUCCUUUUGUCUCCCUGCUUCCUCACUGAUCUGUGUGCCCUAUAGGUCUCUUACCUUGCAUUCGUACACAUUUUGUAACUGAGAAGGUUAAUUGUUCCUUUAAUCUCUUAACAAUUAUUAAUCUAUCGUAUUUUAAUUUUUUUCUUUUUUCCAUUUUUUGUUGGUGUAUUAUGAUUGUACAUAUUAGUGGAAUUCAUUGUUACAUACUCAAAAAGUACACACCUAUCAUUUUAUAUACUUCAAAUAUAAAUCUCAAAUAAUUUUUAGAGAUAUAUCUAUAGAGAUGUCUUAAUUGAACGCUUCUGUAUGAGGGAAGUGAGAUCAUCAUGUUUGUAUAGUACUUUAAACAUUUCAAAGGUUUCUCACAUUUAUUAAUCUUUUACAAAGCCUCACCACUCUCUGGUGGGUUAAAUAUUAUCAUUUUCAUUGUCCAAAUGACCAAAUUGAAUUGGCUCAGGGUCCCAUUGCAGGACCUAAUUGAGUGAAUCUGUAACCCUCAAACUAAAGUUUACCAAGUUUUCUUGUUUUAAAGGACUAAUCACACCUUUGUGAUGUAGUUCUAUUGUGUGAGAAAAUGAGAGUACAGUGCUUCAUAAAAGAAAUCUAAGUAGGAGAAAUAAACGUUUUCUUCUGUGAAAGUUGUAAUGACUACACCAGAAGAAAUAGCAGAAACAAACAUGUAAGGAAAGGGUAGAAACUUAGGUCUAUGUGUUAAUUUAAUGUUUGUUUUCAUUUAUUCCUGGAUUACGAAUAAGCAUAAUUGACUUCUUUUUAAUAACUUUAUUUUAUUUAUUUAUUUUUGUGUGGUGUUGAGGAUCAAACCAGUCCCUCAUAAGUGCCAGGCAAGUGAGCCCACCACCCCAGCCCAUAAUUGACUUUUUUCUUUUUUUUUUUUUUUGCGGGGCAGGGUACAGGGGUUGAACUUAGGGGCACUUGACCACCAAGCCAUAACCCCAGCCCUGUUUUGUAUUUUGUUUAGAGACAGGGUCUCAAUGAGUUGCUUAGUGCCUCACUUUUGCAGAGGCUGGCUUUAAAUUCACAAUCCUCCUGCCUCAGCCUCCUGAGCCGCUGGAAUUACAGGCAUAUACCAUGGCUCCUGGCCCAUAAUUGACUUUUAAUAUCCUUGUAUUAAUCAGUAGUGUACUAUUUGGGUUGCUUUAGCCUUAGCAAAAUAUUCAAGGAGAUCUUACUUUAUAAUGAGAUAUUUUUAAAUUAUAGUUGAGCUAAGGAGAACUUAAAACAGUUAAUUCAAAAGGAAGCCAAAAAAACAAACAAGUAAAUAAAUAAGUAUGAGAAAUUAAACUUCACACAAAAUUAUAUGUUUCAUUGCCUUUAUUGAUAUGAAUUUUCCUUAUAUUUCUACUCCAAUUGUGGAGAUAUUACUUAGAAACAGUAUUUGUCUCCAUGCCCUUGAUCUUACUGGGCAGAACAAGUUACUUAAACUUGCUUACUUUCUGUAAAUAAUAUUUUUUUUUCAAUUAGAAAGAAAAUUAUCUUAAAAUUGGUAUGUGGACAUAAGCAGUUUUUCUUUUACAGUUUUGAUACCCAGGUUUUCUUUUCUUUAAAAAGAAUUGAUUUUCUAGAUUAUGUGGUAUUAUGGUGCAUUCUCUGCAAAUACAAAAAAUUGAUCAUUGAAAGAAUCUCUACUUUUAUUCUGUAUUAAGUUUUUUUAAGAUGAUAAGCUAAAAAUAUUCUAUAGCACUAAAAAAUGAAAGGAGGCUUUCCAAAAAUGGUUCUAAUCAAAUAAGGAAAACAGGAUAGAGUUGUAGAAAAAAAUUUGAAAGCAACAUUAUAAGAUUUGACUUAAAAUAGAGGAGAAAAAUGUAUUAUGUCCUUCCAAAAUACAUUUUUCUUUUUUUUUUAAUUUUUAUUAUUGGUUGUUCAAAACAUUACAUAGUUCUUGACAUAUCAUAUUUCAUACAUUUGAUUCAAUGGGUUAUGAACUCCCAUUUUUACCUUGUAUACAGAUUGCAGAAUCAAGUACAUUUUUCUUAAGAAUCAUUUUUGAGAUUCUUUUGCCCAACUUUCCACAUGCUCUGUCCUACAGAGCUCAGUCUCCCUUCCUACUCCCAUUCUCAUGCCAUCACAGAUCCUUAGAAUUCAGGAAAAUUAUGUUUGAUGCAGACUUGUAUAGAGCUGUUAUAAGUUCUCAGCUUUUCAUUUGACCUCAAAACAUGUACAAGGGUUUUACUUUUCAGCCAUUGCUUUAUGGUACUUUAAAGUAAAAAAUGAAAAGGCCACUACACAGCAGUUAGUUUUUAGUUUUUGUUUUGUAACAGUUUAAACAGUUCAUUAUAUUAAAUCUGUUGUAAAUAUGAUUAUGUUUUGCUUCCCCAGAUUCUGUAGCCAGUUUUAAGAACUACUGUUAGCUUCUCAGUGGCCAGCUGUGAUUUAGUGAUCUUAAUAAAGUUGUAACUUUUAGCAGAGGGCUUAGAGCUUUUAAAGAUGACUGGACUUUUUUUUGUAAUUUGUGUUUUUCUUGUUUGGCUUGGGUAUUAAAGAAUUCUUCAUUAGAGUCAGCUGCAAGCUUGCCAGGUUUGUAGGCUGAUGUCUCAUUAAUAUUAAAACAUUCCCUUGGUACAUGUGUGCCAUGUGCGUACCCUGUGAUUCAGAAGGCAUGAUUUUAACACAUAAAGUCUUUUAAUUUCUUUAACUAUUCAUUUCUAUAAAGAAAUUGCUGAAAUAUUUAACUUUUGUUUUCAUCUUAUUGGCAAACCUGCUAGCAUUAAACAGGGCUUUACCUGGAGAUUGACUGAUUUAUUUUUUUAUUUAUUUUUUUUUUAAUUGUUGGUUGUUCAAAACAUUACAUAGUUCUUGAUAUAUCAUCUUUCACACUUUGCUUCAAGUGGGUUAUGAACUCCCAUUUUUAGCCCAUAUACAGAUUGCAGAAUCACAUCAAUUACACAUCCAUUGAUUUACAUAUUGCCAUACUAGUGACUGUCAUGUUCUGCUAGCAAUAGUAACAAAAACAGCAUGGUACUGGUACCAAAACAGGCGGGUGGACCAAUGGUACAGAAUAGAGGACACAGAAACCAAUCCACAAAACUACAACUAUCUUAUAUUUGAUAAAGGGGCUAAAAGCAUGCAAUGGAGGAAGGAUAGCAUCUUCAACAAAUGGUGCUGGGAAAACUGGAAAUCCAUAUGCAACAAAAUGAAACUGAAUCCCUUUCUCUCGCCAUGCACAAAAGUUAAUUCAAAAUGGAUCAAGGAGCUUGAUAUCAAAUCAGAGACACGCCGUCUGAUAGAAGAAAAAGUUGGCUACGAUCUACAUUCGGUGGGGUCGGGCUCCAAAUUCCUCAAUAGGACACCCAUAGCACAAAAGUUNGAGAGGUGGGAGGGAAAGGGAGAGAAAAGGGAAAUUGCAUGGAAAUGGAAGGAGACCCUCAGGGUUAUACAAAAGAACAUACAAGAGGAAAUGAGGGGAAAGGGAAAAAUAAUACAAGGGGGAGAAAUGAAGGGGAUAGUAGAGAUUGACUGAUUUAGUAUUGUCAUGGGUUUAUUUCUCUGUAUGUAGUAUGGUUUCUGUGCUAGCGUACCUUCUAAAAGUGAUUUCAAUGCCUAGUAAGAUGUAUGGACGUUUGAGGAGCUAUCAGAUCCUUUUUGAUGUUAGGUUCAAUCUCAGGUUGGGAAUAAAGGAAAUAUGGAAUGUUGACUUCUGUGUAUAUAGGUGUGUGCAUGUUUUUGUAUGAUCUAAACAUCCAGGAAAUGAAAUGAACUUAUUUGAUUUACAGCUUCCUUCCAGAAAAGGUUAAAGUUUAACAUGGAGAUGGAGUUAUAGGGAAAUCUUGAUUAGUUUUCCUCUUUCAAAUGUAGCACUACUUAACAAUGAAAUGAUUUAAUGUUGCUCAGGACUGCAUUCUGUAUCUUGGUAUUAUAUUUGAAAGAAUAAAAUAAGUUGAUUCAUAUUUUCAAAAAUAGAAAUGUGACAUUAAAGGAAAAUUAUAGGAUCUGUGGCUUACAUUUUUAAGAUAAGUACAUUAGUAUUUGACCCAUUUAUUAAAUCUGUCAAAGAAAAUAGUGUCAAACAAGUAUAAAUUUUCAAAAUAUUAAUUAAAUAUUUUGUUAGCACAUGUAUACAUAUAUGUGUGUGCAUGUCACCUUUAUUUUUCUUAUUUUUUGAAGUGAGAAGACUGGAUAAAUUUUGCAAGUAUUCAAAAAUUAUCCUGCUGGAUGACAUUGGGAAUAUUAUUGAAAUAAUUAUUUGCUUCAAUCCUUAAAUCUAUCUCCAAAAAAUAAAAACAAACAAUAACAAAAUACAAAGGCAAUUAAUCUCUUUUUUUUUGAAAAUGUAAUGAAUUUGCCCUUAAAAUCGUGUGAACAGUCUUACUAGCAUUGCUUGUUUUUACAUAUAACCAGAACAUUUUCAUGUAAGAUUUGAUAGUUCAAAAUGUUGUUAGUCUGCAAAUCUUCUGUAGGAAUAGUGAAAGAUUGCAAAAGAAUUAUGGACUUUAGAUUGUCUGAUUUGAUUGUAUUGAGUGAAUUUAGUAAAAAUUACUUAUUUUCUCAUCUCCAGUAAUGUAAAUAUCUCAUGUCUUAUAAAAUUAAUAAUCACCUGCAUCAUUUUGCUAGCAGGAAUGCUGUUUCACAGACUUUUUUUUAAAAUAGCAAACUAUAGAGAAAAUCUGAUAUUAUAAAGGGAGUAGAAAAAACCAUACACUGUCUACAGUGUGAGCUUUGAUUAUUUCAAAGAGGAGAGACUGCUUUCCAAAUAUCAUCUAUUCAAAGUUAGUAAGGUCAGCUGUUCAGAGCCCUUAAAGAAAUGACAUAAAACCAGUGACAGAGAAUAUUGGAAAUCAGUCUUACUGCCUGCAGCCAAGUUUAUAAAACCCACUUGAGUGCAUAGAAAUGUAUUGUUUAUUUUUGAGAUAAAAAUUCAACAGACAUGUGGAAGAUAAAUAGAUUUUAGAAUAAGAAGAGCCUUCAGAAAUCAUUUGAUAAUCCCCUUUCAUUUCACAAAGAGAAAUCAGGGGUGAAAAGUUAAUUUACUGGGCUGAGGAUGUGGCUCAAACGGUAGCGCGCUCGCCUGGCAUGCGUGCGGCCCAGGUUCGAUCCUCAGCACCACAUACAAACAAAGAUGUUGUGUCUGCCGAGAACUAAAAAAUAAAUAAAUAUUAAAAUUCUCUCUCUCUUUAAAAAAAAAGUUAAUUUACUUAUUUGGCAUCAUAUAGACAGUGACAACAGUAAGACUAAAAAUUCUUCACUUUUAUUUUAAAUAAUUAAUUGAAAUUAAAACUUAAAGAAUUGUGAUGAAAAUUAUUUUUAUUAUUGCUAUUAAUAUUUUAAAUUUACAUAUAGUAAAGUUGACUCUUUAAAAAUAAGUUUGUUAGCCAAGUUUGGUGACCAUGCCUGUAAUCCCAGUGACUCAAGCGGCUGAGGGAGGAAGAUUGCAAGUUGAAGGGCAGACUCAGCAACUUACUGAAGACCCUGUCUCAGAUAAAAAAUAAAAAGGGCUGGGGAUAUGGCUUACCUCUAGGUUCAAUCUCCAGUACCAAAGUAAUACAGUACCAAAGAAGAAGAAGAAGAAGAAGUAGUAGUAGUAGUAGGAAGAAGAAGAAGAAGUAGUAGUAGUAGUAGUAGGAGUAAUAGUAGUUGUAGUAGUAGUAAUAAUAAUAAUAAUAAUAAUAAUAAUAAGAGGAAGAAGAAGAAGAAGAAGAAGUAGUAGUAGUAGUAGUAGUAGUAGUAGUAGUAGUAGUAGUAGUUGUUCUGUGAACUAAUGCAUGCACAGAUUCAUGUAACUACCACCCCAAACAAGAGACAAAUAGUCCCAUUGCCCCAGAAAACUCCUUCAGGCUUUUCCUUUUUUGGUUAAAAACCUCUUCCUAAACCUCACCCCUAGAUAACUACUGAUCUGUAUGCCAUCACUAAGAUUUUACCUACUCCAGAAUAUUGCAUAAGUGGAAGUAUUUAGUAUGUACUCUUUUGAGUAUAGAGUGUAACUUCUCUCAAGUGAACAUUUUUGAGAUUCAUCCAGGUUUUGUGUAGCAUUGAUCCAUUAUUUUAAUUGGUGAGUAGCAUUUCAUUGUAUCACAAUUUUAUUAUUUACUGGUUAAUGAACAUUUGGUUGUUGCUAGUUUGUUUUAAAGAUUUUUUUUUUAAAGAGCACAGCAAAAUUAAGAGAAAGGUACAGAGAUAUCCCUGUCCUUACAAGUAUAUAGCUUCCCCCAUUAUUAACAUCCCCCACCAGAGUGGUAUAUUUGUUAUAAUUGAUAAAGCUACAUCGAGACAUUACAAUCUCCCAAAGUCCAUAGUUUACAUUAGGAUUUAGUCCUGGUGGGUUUGGACAAAUGCAUAAUGGUAUAUAUGUAUCAUUAGAGUAUCAUGUAGAAUAUGUUCACUGUCCUAAAAAUCCUGUGUUCUUCCUAUUCUUUCCUUCUCUCUUCAGUUUCUGGUAAUCCGCUAGUCUUUUUUUACUGUUUCCAUAUUUUUGCCUUCUCCGGAAUGUCAUACAGUUGGAAUCAUAAUAUGUAGUCUAUUUAGUUUGACUUCUUGUUUGCAGAUUUUAGCUAUUAUGGAUAAAAACAUUAAAAUUCUUUUUAGAGAAAAUGAAAAAACUUACAGAUAGCAUAGAGACCUGAUAGAAUGUUCCUAAAGAAUUCACAAAGUUAACUUACUUCUUAAACUUUUUAUUUUAAGAUAAUUAUAAAUUCACGGGAAGAAGCAAGCAUACUUCAAUGAAAUCCAUUCACUCAAUUUCUUUUAUUGUUUUCAGUUUAUGUAGCUAUAGAACAAUAUCAAAACCAGGAAACUGAUAUUGAUGUAAAGAGAGUAUAUAGUUCUUUGGUAUUUUAUUAUAUUAGAUCCAUGUAACCAAUCCUGUAAUUAUGUUACAGAAUUAUUCUGCACUGUAAUAUUAUCUCAUAUGCUGCUGGGAAUUAAAACCAAGGAUGCUCUACUACUGAGUUAUAUCCCUAGACCUUUUUGUCUUUUAUUUUGAGACAGGGUCUCACAAAGUUCCUGAGGCUAGCUUCAAACUUAUGAUCCUCUUGCCUUAGCCUCCCAAGUAACUGGUAUUACAGGCCUGUGACAUCUCACUGGCAAGCUACCUCUCUUUUUAUAGUAAUGCCCCCUCUCCAACCCUAUCCACAGAGAUACUUUCCAGGACCCCUAGUGGAUGCCUAAAACUGAGGAAAGUACUAAACUUGAGUAAUAUCAUAUUUUGUUCUUAUUGUAGAUUGUAGCAACCUCAGUAAAUGACUUUUUCCCCCUUUUCUUUAUGAAACUGAGACUUAUUCCCUUUUCACUUGAGGAAAGCAGUUUGCAGCUACUCUGUGGUAUAUAUCUGGAUUGCUAGCAUCACUACUAUUUCCUGUCUCUUCUUUAUCCUGUUUGUUGGUGAUUUCUAUCUUCCCUUAUUCAGUCUAGCUAGAAAUUUAUCAGUUUUAGUAAUGUUUUUUCAAAAACCAGUUCUUGCUUUCAUUGAUUUUUCUCUGUUUUUCAGUGUCUAUUUUAUUGAUUUCUCUUCUUUGUUAUUUUGUUACUUUCUCUUGUUUUGGCUUAAUUUACUUCCCUCUCCCAGCUUUGUAUGCUAGAAGCUUAGAUAAUUGCUUUUAGGCCCUUUAUUCCCUAAUAAAAGCAGAAAACUCUAAAUGUUCUCAAAGCACCUUUUUAACAUCAUCUUACAAAUUUGGUAUGUUGCUUUUUAAAAUAUUCUUUGUACAUUAUUUUAGAAGUAUAUUGCUUGAUUUCUUAAUCGGGAACUUUUCAAUAUCUAAUUCCAUUGUGAAAGAAGAAUCACUGUAUAUAGUUCCAAUUCUUUUAAUUUGUAAAGACUCAUUCCUGAUUCAGUAGAUUGUUUGUCUUGAACAAUGUUUCAUGGGCAUUGAAAAAAUUUAUACUUUGCCACUGUGGAUUGGAGUGCUCUAUAAAUCUCAAUUCAACAGAUCAGAUCUUAUUUAUUUGCACUUUUGGUAUAUCUGUUCUUUCAAUUACUGAGAGAAGAAUGUCAAUAUCUCCAACUGUAAUUGUGUCUGUUUCUCCCAUCAUUUCUAUCAGUUUUUGCUUCAUGUUUUUUGUACAUAUGAUGUUGUAUCCAUACAUAUUUAGAAUUGUUCCAUCUGCAGAAUGAAUUAAUCUCCUGGUCAUUACCACAUGUCUUUUAUUCUGUCUGAUAAUAUUCUUUGCUUUGUAUUCUACCUUACCUAAUAUAAAUGCAGCUUUUCCAACUUUCUUAAUAUUUUAGUUUGAUAUCCUCUAUUAACCUAUUUCCUUAUUUUUAGUGUACAAUUCUUAUAUUUGGGUGCAGCAUGUAUUUGAGUCUUGCUUACUUAUAUGUCAUAUUCAUAUAUAUAUAUAUAUAUAUAUAUAUGUACAUAUAGUUUAUAUAUAUAUAUAUAUAUAUAUAUGUGUGUGUGUGUGUGUGUGUAUAAAUAAAACUUUUUUUCUCUUGCAGUAAGAAUAUAAGUUAAGUAAUGAGAGGCAAGAAAGAAAGGACAAUCAUCUUGGAAAGAUCACAAGCACUUUGAAAUUUUGAAGGAAUGUAAUACUAGCUGCUAAAAUCACCAGAAUGGAUGAAGUUCUUCAAAUUUAAAUGGUAACCAUAAUUCUUCUAUUAUGUUAUGUUUCUACUAAGAACUUUAGAUGGCUUGAAAAGAUUUCUUUUUAAGUUUAAAUGUUUGUCUUACAAAUGCCAAACAGUGGAUAAAGCUGACUGUUUUAUAACUUAAUAUUAUCAGGCUUUAUUUUGGUCCUUAAUGUUUGUUCAAAAGAUUUGUUUUUCUCCCAGUUUCACUUAAACUUACCUGGGAAUUAAUAUAGCAUAUAUUAGUACAUUUGUAAGUGCAUUUUUCACCAAAUGUUUUUCCUUUUGUAGAAAUAAACUAAACAAUAUAAGUAGUAGUUAUUUUUACAUAUUUAAAAAAAGUUAUUUGAUCUUUUCUGAGUUUAUUUCAUGUUGUUUUUAGUUUCCCUAUGUUGGCACAUGGUUUCAUUUUCUCCUUUCAUAUCUGACAUCUUAUUUUUAUUUCAUCUUUAUUUUCUCCUUUCUACCUUAAAAAAGAAAAAAAAAUAGGCCUGUUGGAAUUGAAUUACAAAAGGCAUAAGGAUCAAGAAUAGGAAAAGGAGAGAGAAAUUUGAAAAGAUUAUAAAAUUUUUCUUCUAAUAAAUUGCAUGGACUGUUAGAUUUCAAGUACAGUGAAAAGCAAUUAUUUACAAAUUUACAAAAUCCCAAAAAAGAACUAUUUGAUUUUCCUACCUGUAAUAAUUCAGAAGUCAUAUAACAGAUCCAUGAGGUACAUAGAAUACUUCUAUAUUUACAUAUUAUUUUUCUGGCCCCAUUUAAGCUGAGUGUCUCCAGAAUCCCAAAUCCUUGCCUUUGAAGAGGGAAUGGCACGGUGGCGCGCACUUUAUAAUCCCAGUGGCUUGGGAGCCUGAGAUAGGAAGAUCGCUAGUUCAAAGUCAACCUCAGCAAUAGCAAAGCGCUGAGCAACUCAGUGAAAUUUUGUCUCUGAAUAAAAUACACAAAUAGGGCUGGAGAUGUGACUCAGUAGUUGAGUGCCCCUGAAUUCAAUCCCUGGAACCAGGAAAAAAAAAUUUAAAAGAGGGUAUGGAAUGAGAUUUUAAUUGUGUAAUUCACAGAAUUUCUAACUUGCACAACUAGAAACUUAUAUUUUCAAUUGCAGACGCUAUCAUGGCCAAUGUGAAGAAGUUAAAAUUUAAAGGAUGACAUUUUAGCUAGGUAACACUAAGGUUGAGUCAAACACCUAAUUUUAUUUAAGUUCAUUUCAUUAGCUGUAAUCUAUGGCCCUUGUGAAUCUGAGCAUGUUUUUGCAAGCAAAAAGACCACUCUGAACAAUUUGAUAUCUCUCUGGAAGCUUAAACUCAUAAAGUUUUAUAGAGCUUUUAAAGCAUUCUUUACAAUACCUUAAUGUAGGAAAACUGUACUUAUGCAGGGAAGCCUAUGUGUAGUUUUCUCAAACAAAGCUGAAUUUAAAAUAAUGGUAAUUAAUCUGUAUUGAAUGGUAAUAGCCAUAUGCCUAGCACUGAGAUUAGCUUUUAAUAUGCUGCCUUAGUCUAUUUGGGCGGCUAUAAUAAAAAUACUUUAAGUUGGAUGGUUUACAAACUACAGAAGUUUAUUUCUCACAGUUCUGGAGCCUGGUAAGUCCAAGAUCAAGGCAUUGUUGGAGUUAGUGUUUGGUGAUAGCCUGCUUCCUGACUCAUAAAUGGAGUCUUUUUUCCAUGUCCUUACAUGGCAGAAAGGGCAAAUGAGGUUUCUGGAGUUUCUUUAAUAAAGGCCCCAAUCCCAUUAAUGAAGCAUUUAUCUCUGUGACCAAACAACCUACCAAAGACUUCACUCCCAAAUACCAACACAUUAUCAACAUAGGAAUUGGAGGGUGGGGCUUAAACAUUCAUUUUAUUGCAUUUGCAUUAUCCUUAUGUCUCACAAUUCUGUUUGACAUAGGUCUUAUUAUUUUAAAAAAUCCAUUUAACAUAUGAGGGAACUCAUUCUCAAAGAAGCUAAGUAAUUGCUUAAUAUCAAGUGACUAGUUAGAGGUGGAGCUAGAUCUGUCUGACUGCAAAGCCUAAGCUCUUAAGCAGGAAUUUGUUGUUGUUUAUGAAGACUUAAACAGAACCUGUUGAAAUUAUUUCUUCUUUAUUUAGUGGCAAAUAAGGACAAGGUAUUUUUCUUAGCAAUAUCCUUGUUGUAACUCUAAAAUUAUGCUCCCUCAAGAUGUAUGUUUCUUCUGCAGCAUCAAUUUUGUUUCUUUAAUAAUUUGAUUGUUUUAUGUUCUUAAUGUAUUAGCUAUUGUAUUAUAUAAAAGGAAAGAUAUAGUCAUGGAACUUUAAUUUGGCUGCUUAAAAAGAUAACUUAAUCUACCACUAUAUAAAGUUGAAUUACUUGAAGAUGAAAAUGGUAGUCCCCACAUUUUACUUGAGAUAAAGACACAGGAAAAAGAGAAGAAUAGGAUAUGAGUGGGGGGAAAAAAAUCAAAACGGAGCUUUACACUCAUCUGUCUUCCCUUGAAAUCUUAUUUACCUUUUUCCUUUCUCUUUAUUCCUCAAAAGAUUUUCAGUGCUUUUCAAUUUCAGAAGGCUAUACUACCAUUAAAAACUAAAAUGGUAGUGAAUUCAGAGACCAGUUAAUCCUAAUGGUAUAAGUUUUAUGUUCAAUUUAUGUAUAAUUCCUUUCAAAUAGGUACUUAUUAUUCUGUUAAUUGUAGAAAACUAAAUAUAGUAAAAACUCCACCAAGAUUCAACAUAGUAAAAGUAUAUCUUGAUAUACCAGUUUAACUCAAUUCCUUAACUCCCAGCAAGACUUUUUGUAGACAAGUAUAUCAGUGAUAUAUAUAUAUAUAUAUAUAUAUAUAUAUAUAUAUAUAUAUAUAUUAUAUUUAUAUACUUAUGAUGAUACAUAUAUAAUCUAAAAUGUAUAUAGAAGGCAAGAGAUUUCAAAUCACUAAUUUUGAAAGAGUAGAAUAACAUAGAAUCACUUUACCUACUUAUAGGACAUAAUGUAGUCUUAGUAAAAAAGAUUGGUAUUGUCAGUGGAACAGACAUAUAAAUUAAUGGAUCAGAAUAGAUAACCCAGAAAUAGCCCCACACAAAUAUAAGCAGCUGAUUUGGUUUUACAAAUGUAUAAAGGCAAUUCAGAGGAGCCUAUCUAUUCAACAAAUGGUUCAGAAAAAAUCAGAUACUAAUAGGCAAACAAAAAACCUCAAGGUAAGUUUCAUACCUUAUAUACAAAUUAACUUAAAAUGGAUUGUAGAAUUAUAUGGAAAAUGUAAAAGAAACCAAGAAAAAGUCUUUAGGACCUUGGGCUUGGUGAAGAAUAAUUAGAUAUAAUACAAAAGCACAAUCUAUAAGUGUUAGUCAGCUUUCCGUUAAUACAAAAUACCAGAGAUAAUCAAAUGAAAAAGAGGGAAGUUUUAUGUUGGCUCACAAGUUUGGGAGAUUUCAGUCUGUGGUCACUUGGCCCUGUUGCUUUUGGGCCUGUCAAGGCAAUAAGUCAUGAUGGGGAGUAAUGUGAUGAAGCAAGCUGCUCACUUCAGUGGGACCAGGAAGCAAAAGAGACAAAGAGGAGGUACCUAAAUCACACAGUCCUCUUAUUGGGCACACCUCCAAUGACUUAAGAUUUCCCACCAGAUCCUACUUCUUAAAGUUUUGACUACCUUCCAAUAAUGCCAAGCUGAGAACUAAACCUUAACACAUGGGUCUUUGGAGAACAUUUAAGAUCUAAACCAUAACACUGUAAAAAGAAAAAGAAAAAAGUAAGCUAGACUUCAUGAAAAUUAAAACUUUUGUUUUGCAAAAACAAACAAACAAACAAAAAACCUGUUAAGCGUGGUUCUGGGAAGAUGGCAGAGUAGAAAGAACCAGGAAUCUGACUCAAGUGUAGGCAAUAAUUGUACUAGCAAAAUCUAAGUAACUGUUUUGGAACUCUCAAGCAUAUUAAAGGCUUACAACUUUCAGGGGGAACCUUGGAAGGUAAAUUAUGGGUGAUUUUGGCCAAUUUCAGCUCUUGUAACAGUAGCAGCUAUCCACCCUCCACCAACCCCCCAGCCCAGUGGCAGGUAACCAGGCAUGUGUUCCCCGAGCAGCUUACACACAGCUUCCAGAGUGGGCCAAAGUAACCCUCUGCUCUACAUACCAAGAAUCUAAUCACCUAACGAUGGUCUCAUAACAGAGAUCUAGAAAAAGAAGUGCAGAUACCUCUUCCCAUUGUUUCAAGUCCCCUAUCUUUACCUCCAUCUGAAGGACUUUGAAGUAAAGGACCCAUAGACUUUUUUCUCCCUUUUAUUUCUCUCUCUUUCCCCUUUGUGAUCCAAACAUUAAACACUAAGACAUGUAAAUCAAGUGGAUUAAGUGCAGAAAGUUAGAAAGUAACCAUGUAUGUCCACAGGAAAGGUUCAGGCUUAGCACGAUCUGACAUUUACACUUCAGACUGUUAUUUGCCAUAAAUAUUGUCUACAAUUAAAAAGCAAACCUUGGAAAAGGGGGUUUCCAGAGAGACCAAUUGUAUUAGUCAGUUUUCCAAAUUGACUAAUUUCAAAUACUUGACAAAGGGUACUCAUUAACUCAAGAGAGGUUUAUUUUUGCUCAUUGUUCUGGAGAUUCAAGUCCAAGAUCAGGAAGCACAUCAGUGGUGGAAGUGAGUGUCAGGGUGAGCAGUCACAUCUGUUUUUCCUUCCUUUUUUCCAUAUUUUUAAUUGGUAUAAAUUUACGUAACAGUGUGAUUCAUUAUUAAAUAGUUAUACAUGCAUAUAACAAUUGCAGUCACAUUUUGAGACGGGAAGCAGAGAGAGACCCAGAUCUACAGUCCUCUUUGAGGACAUUCUCAUAGUAACUUAAGCACCUCCCACUAGGUUCUACCACUUAAAAGGUUCACAGGACUUUCCAGUACUGCCACUGUGGAAUCAAACUUUUACAUAUAGACCUUUGGGAGGUACUCAUUCAAACCAUAGCAUUCUGCCCAUGACCUCCAUUCUCAUAGUGAAAAGUUUAUUCACUCUAUUCCCAGACUCCCAGAGUUAACUGUUGCAGCAUUGCACUAAAGUCCAAGUACAAAGUCUCUUUCAAACUGGGUGUGGUGACACACUCCUAUUCCAGUGACUCAGUAGGCUGAGGCAGAAGGAUCAUAAGUUUGAGGCCAGCCUGAGCAAUGUAGUGAGACCUUGUCUCAAAAUAAAAAGGACUUGUGGAUGUAGCUCAGUGGUAAAGCACCCCUGGAUUCAAUCCCCAGUACAAAAAAAAGAAAAGAAAAAAUAGAAAAGGUGUGGGGCAUAUGAAGAAAUAAAGAGCUCAACAAAUGUAUUGAGAAUUUUAAAUGCUGGUGUUAUAACAGUGGGCUGUAACUGUACUUUCUGUUUUCUGUAUGAUUUAAUAGAUCAGUACAUUUUAAAACAUUCUCCAAAGAUAUACAGAUAUAAGACCCCAAAUAGAUGAUCACAUCAUUAGGAAAACGCAGAUCAAAACUACUCUGGGAUACCACCUGACACCCAUUAGGAUGACUACAAUCAAUAAAACAGAAAAUUAAACUAGUGUUGAUGAGGAUAUGAGGAAAUUGGAACCCUUAUGCACUAUUGGUGGGAAUGUAAAAUGAAAGCACUGCUGUGGAAAACAAUAAGGAAGUUCUUCAGAAAAUGAAUAGAAUUACUAUGUGGCUGGCCUAGCAGUUUCACCUCUGGGUAGGCUCUCAAAGAAAUAUUUGUACAUUUAUAUUCAUAGCAGCAUUAUUCACAAUAGCUAACUUGUAGAAGCAACCUAAGUGUCCAUUGAUAGAUGUAUGAAUAAGCAAAAUGUGGUAUAUAAAUAUGAUGAAAUACUGUUCAGCCUGAGAAAGGAAGGAAACUCUGACAUAUCCUAUAAUAUGGAUGAACUUCAAGGACAUUUUUCUCAUUGAAAUAAAUGAGACACAAAAAGACAAAUACUAUAUGAUUCCAAUAAUGUGGCAUACUUAAAAUAGUGAAAAUCAUAGGACUCAUAAAGUAGAAUGGUGGUUGCCAGGGGCUGGAGGAAAGGGGAAAUGGGAGUUAUUAAAGGAUUAGCAAGUCAGUUUUACAAGAUGAGAGUUCUAGUGAUGGAUGAUGGUAAUGAUUGUACAGCAUAAUAAAUACAUGUAUUCCCACUGAACUGUACACCUAAAAAUAGUUAAGAUGGUAAAUAUAGAGUGAGUUUUACUUCAGUCAUUCAAAACUUGGGGAAAAUGUGUGUGUGUGUGUGUGUGUGUGUGUGUGUGUGUGUGUUUAAUUGAGGAUAAUUGGGGAGAGGAUAUUUUUAAGAUGUCAAUAGUAGUUUUAACUGAGUAGUGAGUCUUUGGUCAAUUUUACAUUCUUUAUGCUGUUAAGGAAUUUUUUAAAGGUAUUGCAGUCAGCUUGUAUUAAAUCAGAAAAUAAAUGUUAUUUUUAUUUCAAAAGCAAUGUAUGAACUUAUAGAGGAGUAGGUGAUAUUCUCUAGUCAGUAGUGGAGAUAUACUCUUGUGCUGGGAGUUUGUUCUUACCAAUUAUUGUGCCACUGUUGUUAAAUUUACAUUGUAUUUUGGAAGAAUAUGAUUCCAUUAUUCUUUAGUUUUCAAAUACAUUUUUAAGACUUGCUGAAAAACAAUUAUUUUUAUGGGGUUUAUAUCUAUUCUAACAUUAGGUUUUAGAAAUUCUUUACCAUUGAGAUAAUUGCAGCAGAAACAUUCUCUGGUAGUGUAAAUGACCAAAAAUGAAUGUAUCGUGGCAGAAAUUCUGUUUCCACACUUUGUGUUGCCAGCAAGAAGAUACUGUCUGCAUAGUAAAAUUCUAGUCAUUUUAUGUUUCUAAAUUCACUUCUGAAAACACUAUGAGGAGAUGAUCCAGAAAAAGAAUGUUUAUCUGGACUAUUUUGUUUUGUUUUGUUUUGUUUUAAAGAAGUAGUUUCACCUAGGACCUGGCCAUGGGCUGAGUGAUGAUGGAAGAAGAAAUAGGGACCUAUAAGCAAUUGGGAAAGAGAAAAAGAAUAUGGCACUGAGAAGAAUGAUUCCAUUAUUCUUUAGAACUUUUGAUUCAACUCUAACUAGUAGUAAAUGUUUUAGGUUAGGCACAAUCACUAAAGGUGUGAGUGAUUGCAGAACAUAAUAAAUGCAGAUAUCCUCCUUAUUUCUGUUUCUAGUAGGAAAAUUCACUCACUAUCUUCUUAAAACAGUGAAAAACUGUAAAUCUGCAAAAGUGCUGAAGUAACUGUCCUCAAGUGUUAGCAACAGAAUAGUGGAAGAAAAAUAUAGUUUUAUCAUUCUGGCAUGCACCUUUGGAAGAUUAACAAUUCUGGUACAUGGUCACAGGAAAUUUUGACCUAAAAAUGCCAAAUUAUAAAAUGAAAGCAAACUUUAUCACUAAAGAAAUUCAUUCUUUUUGGAGUCAGGCCCAGCUUUUGUUUCCUUCCAUUAGUUUGCCAUGUAAAAAAGGAAGGAAAACAAAACUAUUCUGGUGCGAUAUACACUCUGAUGAUAUAUUGUGGCCAUUGUAUAUAACUUGUGCUAAAGCACAGGUAUGUUUGGUGUGGGGGCUAUUAAAAGGAAACAAGACACAUAUUCUUUAUUUAGAUGCAAAAGGGGGAAAUAUACAGCCAGUAUCUCUAUUUCCAGAUAUGUUUCUUGACUAGUAUUUCUUCUCUACUCCAUUGUACAUCUGCCAAGAAUGGAAAAAUACCAGGACCCAUAGACACUUAUACAUUCUCCCCAAAUCAUCAGGCAAGUGUUCAACAAACAAAAAAAUCUACCAACCACAGUGAGAUGCUUCAUACUCAUGAGGAUUGCUAUAAUGGGGGUGGAGGCUGGGGGCGGGGAAACAAGUGUUAGUAAGUAUAUAGAAAAAUUGGAGCCUUGUGUAUUGCUGUUGAGUGUGUGAAUUAUUUCAGUCAUUGUGAAAAAGUGUAUUGAUUCCUCAAAAAGUUAAAACAUAGAAUUAUCAUACAACAGUUCCCAUUCUAGGUAUUCACCCCAAAAUGGGGAAAACAGGAUCUCAGACAAAUAUUUGUACACAAAUAUUUAUAGCAACACUGUUCAUAAUGGUGAAAAGGUGGGAACAGUCAUCAGCAGAUGAAUGGAUAAAUCAGUUGUGGCAAAUCAGCAGCAGAACAAUAUCUGAAACCCUUCAGAUUUUUGGAAAUAAAAUAAGCAACCCACUUCUAAAUGGCAUGGGAGUGAAAGUGUAACUCUGAAGGGAAAUUAUAAAAUACUUUUAAUUUAAUGAAAAUGAAAUCACAACAUAUCAAAAGUUGUGGAAUGCUGCUGAAGCAGUUGACAAACUUCUACCAUUAAAUGAUUAAUUAGAAAAGAAAAAGGGUUUCAAAUUAAGGACUUAAGCUUUCACUUUGUGAAAGUAGAAAAAGUUGAACAAAUUAAACCCAAAAUAAACAUAAAGAAGGAAUUAAAAACAGAAAUCAUUGGAAUGGAGAGCAAAAUCAGUGGAGAAAUUAAAUGUAACCAAGAGUUUGUUCUUUGACAAGAUGAAUAAGUUAAUAAUCCUUAACUGGACAGAUAAGAAAAACAAAGAAUUUUUAAAUUACUAAUGUUAGUAAUUCAUCAGUUAAUAAUGUUAGGAAUAAGAGAGGGACAUUACCAUAGAUCUUACAGAUAUGAAAAGAACAUGAGAUAAAUAAUAUUAACAAAAUAUUAUCUCCAUAAAUUUAAAACCUUAAGUGUAAAAAUUUCUUGAUAGAGUCCAGGUGUAGAAGCUCACUUAAGAAAAUAAUAGAUAACCUGGAUAGUCCUGUAUGUGUUAAAGAAAUUGAAAUUGGGAUUUAAAACUUUCCACUAAAGAAAACUCCAGGCUCAGAAGCCUUUUACUGGCAAAUAUAAUCAAUGAAUAUUUAAUGAAGAAAUAAUAUCAAUUCUAUGCAAAUUCUGACAGAAUGCUCUUAAUUCAUUUAUUGAAGUCAGUGUUAUAAUAUCAAAACAAGUUAGAUUACAAAAAAGAAAACUAAAGACAUUGACAAAAAAGUCCUCAAGAAAAUAUUAGCCAAUCAAAACUAGUAACCCAUAAAAAUGGUAAUACAUUUUAUCUAAAUUUAAUUUAUUCUGAGAAUAUAAGGUUGUUUUGAUGUUCAGAGUGAAUUGGUGCAAUUCUCCUUAUUAACAAAGUAAAAGGACAAAACCCUGUAUGAUUAUCUCAAUAAUUAGAUACUGCAUCAAUUUAUAAUAAAGAUAUCUCAGCAAACUGGGAAUAGAAGGAAUUUCCUCAACCUAGUAAAGGGCAAAUAUAAAUAUUCUAUGGCUGACAUCAUACUUGAGGAUGAAAAUCUGAAUGCAGGCAAAAAGACCAGAAAAAGUAAAUAAGAGGAAUGCAGAUUGAACAGGAAGAAAUAAAAUUCUCUGUAUUUACAAAUUAAAUAAUUUUCUAUGCAGAAAAUCUCAGAAUCUACCAAAAAGGAGGGGGCACCCCUCCUUGAACUUAUAACUGAGCUAGCAAAGUCACAGGAUUCAAAAUCACUAUAAAAAUUAAUAUUUCUGUAUUCCAUUGAUAAUUAUAAAUUGAAAUUAUAAAGAGCACUGUUUACAAUAGCACUAUGAAACCUGAGAUACUUGGGUACAAAUCAAACAAUAUGUGCAACAUCUAUGCUGAAAACCUACAAAACACUGAUGAAAGAAAUAAAAGAAGAUCCUAAUAAAUAAAAGACACUGUGUUCUAUGGUGAAAAUCACUGUCAAAAUCCUAGCAGGAUUUUUUUUUUUUUAAUAGCAAGCUGAUCCUAAAGUCUAUUUGGAUUGCUAAAGGAAAUAGAAAAGGGAAAAAAUUAAAUAGAAAUGAAGUGAGGACUCUCUUACCUGAUUAAGAACUAUCAAAAAACUAUAAUUAUCAAACUCUGUAUUACUGUUUUUAAAAAAUAGCUGCAUAUAUCUGUGGGAAAGAAUAAACCAUCCAAAAAAUAAACACACAAUCAGUUGAAUUUUCACAAAAGAGCUAAGGUAAUCCAAUGAAAAACAAAAUGAACAGUUAGACAUUCUUUUAAAAGCAAAAGAAACAAAAGAUCCUUGGCCCAUAUCUUGGCACAGGUCUUAGAGAUAAAUGAAAAAAGAAAAAAAAAGAUGGGAAGAGAUUUACUUUGUAAAAGUAGGAAAAUGAUAACUCCUCAGUGAAUUGAAGCAUGGAAAUUGAAGCAGAGGAAAUAGUAAAAUCAGUUAAAUCUUUUGACUGAAGAACAUCAUAUACUUUAUAAUAUUAAUUUUUUCCUACCUUAUUAAGCAUCCUAUUAUUCAUAGAGUACUUUGUAGAUGGGGGAGGGUCAUUAUAAAGUCCUGUUCAGGGAAUCACAUAUAAAUAGUAACAAAAUAAUUGUUAAGUGCUACCUUAUUAGUACCAAGAGAAACCAGAGGAGGGAGCAACAAACACCACACUCAUCCUGAAGAGACUUCCUACCUAGCCCCCUGAGCUCUGAGUGCAGAAGAGGACCACGAGCUGGAGUAUUCUGAGCAGUAAAUAAUGUGAAUUGAUACACUGCCCUUUUGAAAACUGAAAAAUUGUUGUUAAUUUGAUAGCUAAAAUCCAAUAUGAGAUCUCUUCCAUCUGCUGCAGCUUGAAUCUUUGUUGUUUAUCUCAGACUCAAAGAAUAGACAAAGCAAAGGAACCUGAUGGUUUCUUUUUACCCUUCCUUUUUGCUGUUAUUUGAUCUAUCCUAAAAUGAGUAAUGUCUUUCUCUUGCCCUUGUUUUAGCCAUUCUGUACAAUCUCUAUCACACAAAUCAGCCAAAGAUUUUUUUUCAAAAAGUUCCAAAACUGUAGGAAUGAAAGAUUUCCCCCACAUAAAGAAAACUCCAUCAUACCCCGUGCACCCACCUCUAGUGGUUUCUAAUUGCACAUUCUCAUCUCUCUUUGAAGGAUUGUCCAUCGCAAUGUGUUAUACUUUUCUUAAAGCAAGUACUCUUAUUCUCCCCCAGUCUUCUAUCAUAUAGCAAGAGCAUUGGUGGAAAUUGCUUUUCCAUAAAAAGAACUAUGCCACCUACUCUUCAAAUGCCAGUGAUUAAGAAAAUCAUUGAUCGAUUUUUUUUCCUCCUAGGGAAUAAAUGAGGCUUUCCCCUGAGAGUGGAAAGAAUGAAAUAAUGGGAUGUAAAGAAUGAAGAUGACUGUGUGUUAUGAGGAAAAUGUUUAUGCAGUUGCCAUGGAAACAACAUGUAGUCAUUCAAAACAGAAGCUUAUAUCUCAGUAUUUGUCAAAUAUAAAUAAGAUAUGGUUUGCAUUUAUUCUCUUUCUUGGCCUAAAUUUAUUCUGACACAUAUGGUUAUGUAAAAUAUGUUCCUGCUUUAGUAUAUUUGCUUAAUGCUUGCAGGAAUCUAGCAAUACAUGAGAUGCUAUGAUUUAAAAUCAGAUACUUGAGUCAUAGAAAUAAAAUUAGGAAAGCAACUCUCAGCAAAUAAUUCCUAAAAAUAAAUGACAAUAUAUUCAGAGUGCCCACUGCUGGGCUCUCCUGUGACUUUCAUCAUUAACAAAACUUAUUAAUUUUUCUUAAUUGAAAUAUACUCACAGUGUUAGACAUAAUUGGUACUAAUUCUUUGUAAGUGAUAUCAAAUGCAGAAAAUUCAUAGUUUGAUAGUUUUUUCUUAUUUAACACGUGUUUCAUCUCUCAAAUGGAAUAAGGCACAAUAGAACAUGUUUCUGAAUUGUUACUAGAUUUCUGUUAGAAAACUUCAGUUGCCUUCAGUUUCUUACUUUAUAAGUGAGGCAUGAUAGAAAUCUUGAGAGGACAUACAUGAGUUUUGAGGAUUUGGAUAAUUUGACAAAAAUAUUCAGAGCUUGCACUUUUAUCAGUAACUAAUUCCAAAAAUAGUAUAGAAAAUGCAAGCCAUGCACACUGCUACUGCCUUUUAACGGAGACACUAAGUAGAACAAUAGAAGACUCUAAAAACAAUUAGAAUAGGCUUCUUUUGUGGAAAACUGGCUGUUAUCUACUUAACUCCAAUACCUCAUCCAUUCAUGCCUACAUUGUUAGCCAUUUCCUAGCUCAUCAGUUUAUCACCCUAUGUAUUUUCUCUUCUCUUAGAUUUCCAUAAAGACGAGCACUUAGUGAAGAUAUAGCCUACAGGCAUAAUGUUUUAUUAAAGCAGUAAUUGCUUAUAGUCCAAUAAAUGUAACAAUAAUUUAAUGAGACCAAAUAGUUAUACACAUUGAACAGUAGGAAAAGGCUAAGACUUUUUAAAGGAGAUCAAUUUUAAGUCAGAACUGAAAGGUAAGGAUUUUUCUAAUUUUUGACAAUAUUAAAAAAAUUUUAAAAUGUGUACACCUUUUAAUCCUAAAUUAAACUUCCAAGAAUUUAUCUUAGGAAAUAAAGAUAUAUGCAAAAUUGUGGAGAAUGUUCACUAAACCCUGUUUAUAAUAGAGAAAUAUUGGAAAUAGCUUAAAGGAAUGGAUAAACAGUCUUAGGGUAAAUACAGAAAAUGAAAGAGUAUAUAACCAUUUAAAACAGUGUUAUAGAAGAAUAUUUACUGAUAUAGGAAAAUAUUUGUGAUGUUGUCCAGUAGAAAAAAAGCAGAGAUUUGAUUGGAAUUAUAUUAAAUCUGUAGACCAGUUUGAGAACAAUUGAUAUCAUUGCUAUGUUGGGUCUUCUACACAAAGAACACUAUGUUUCUCCAUUUACUUAGGCCUGACUUUUUUUUUUUAAUUAGUGUUUCAUAUUUCUCAGCUUAUAGCUCCUGUACCUGUUUUCUUAGAUUUGUGCAGGAGUUUUCUUUUGUUCUUUUUUGAGAUAAUCUGCAAGAUAUUUUUAAAUUUUCAGUUUCCAUUAACAUAUUGCCUAUAUAUAGAGAUGCAGUUGAUUUUUGUGUGUUGACCUUGUAUCCUACAAUCUUCAAACACUCAAAUUUUCCAAAAGUUUUUUAAAAAUUAUUUUGUAGAUCCUUUGGGAUUUCCUGUGCGCAUAAGCACACCAGAUGCAAAUGGCACAGUUUCAUUUCUUCCUUUCUAAUCUAUAUGUCUUUUAUUUCUUUUUCUUGCUUUUGUACAUUUUCUAAAACAUUUGGGAUAUGCAGAAUAGGAAACAUGAGUAUAGGCCUCCCUACCUUGCUGCCUCCUUUGGAGAAAGGCAGUCAGUCUUUCACAAUUAAAUAUGAUGCUUCCUAUAGAUCUUCUCUUGUAGAGGUCCUUGAAUCAUGUGGAAGUAGUUCCUUUCUACUCUUAGUUUACUCAGCAUUUUUAUUAUGAUGAGUGUUGACUUGUGAAAUAAAUUUUCUGUAUCAAUUGAUGUAAUCAUGUGGCUUUUCUUCUUUUGAUGUUAAUAGAUUGUUUAAUAUUGAACUUAUAUUCCUGAGGUAAACUCCACUUGGUUGUAUACAUUAUUCUUUUUACAUAUUACUAGAAAAUCUCAGGGGAUUUUUGUGUUUAUGAUCAAGGGAUAUUGGUCUAUAGUUUUGGUUAAUUGAUAUUUUAUGUUCACCUACCUGGUUUGGGCAUCAGGGUAAAGCA
rnacentral:lncRNA from 1 species